GUAGGUGGCAAGCGUUGUCCGGGAAUUAUUGGGGCGUAAAGCGCGCGCAGGCGGUUCUUUAAGUCUGAUGUGAAAGCCCACGGGCUCAACCGUGGAGGGUCAUUGGAAACUGGAGGACUUGAGUACAGAAGAGGAAAGCGGAAUUCCACGUGUAGCGGUGAAAUGCGUAGAGAUGUGGAGGAACACCAGUGGCGAAGGCGGCUUUCUGGUCUGUAACUGACGCUGAGGCGCGAAAGCGUGGGGAGCAAACAGGAUUAGAUACCCUGGUAGUCCACGCCGUAAACGAUGAGUGCUAAGUGUUAGGGGGUUUCCGCCCCUUAGUGCUGCAGCUAACGCAUUAAGCACUCCGCCUGGGGAGUACGGCCGCAAAGGCUG
rnacentral:rRNA from 1 species